UGAAAACUGCCCACAUAUGGGUUGUAUAUGUAAGACGUCUACAUAUUUCUCUAUAAUAGCGGGAGGUCAGAUCCGACGUAGAUUUGAACGGAGACCGGGAGCGAGGGGAACCGGCGCUGGAUCCGGAGAAGAGGGAAGGCAGCGAGCGAGUGAGGCACCGGCUCCCAGCCUCUACGAUCCCCCUGUGAAAGGGUUCACAGGGACGAGGUCUGGAGAUCAAGGGCUCCAGGAACUUCGGGGGAGGGUGGGGCUUUUUGUUCCCUGCGCAACAGCGGCACUCCUUCCCACUUCGUCCGGCGUGAGCAUCGCGCGCCUUAGCAGGAAGAGUUGCCACCGAACGGUCCCACGCGUGGGAAAAGUCAGUGGCUACGCGGCCUCAGACGACGCACAGGGCGGAUCGGGACGGGCAGCCGCCCCGCAUUUUAUAAACGCCCUCCGCGCGAAAGAAAUGCACCUUUCUUUUUAGCGGGAGAAGCGGCCGUUCGGCGGCCCAGCCUGCGGCGCCUAUCCGAGAACUUUCGCCUUUCGCUGCCCGCAGGGUGUCUGCAAACGCCAGAGGGAGGGGGCAUCGCCCACCCACCCGAGGGAGGAGGUCUCGCCCACCCACCCACUCCCCGCCAAGCUUUUUUCCUCUGGGCAGUCGAAAGCGUCUUGCUGGGGAGUGUGACGCCGAAAGAAAGACGAGCCGCCAUCCUCUUUCGCCUCGCUGCGAAGUGACACCAGCGGCGACCCGGGAGAAAAAGACACACAAAGGGAGAGCCAGCCAGCGAGCGAGCGGAGCGUCUUUACGCGCACAGCCCUCGGCCCGCUCCGCCCCGGCGCGAGAGAAAGCCGUUCUUCUGAGUCUUCCUGACCAGCUGUCUCUUGCAUGCAAACCAUCCUCUGGGGAGUUGGCAUGACAAGCUUGAAGCCAAAGCAUCAGUGGAAUUGCAAAGGAUGUGGAAGCAGCCCGGCUGUUUGCUCUCUCUGCCUGGAUGUUUUGCAUUCUUCUCCUUGCAUCUGGUGGGAAGAUCAAUGACUAGCCAGCCUUAAAGAAUCUGAAAGACUGAUUCCUUCUCUCCUAGUCGGAAAAUGACAAUAGAAUCAGCAGAAAUAGUACCCUAGAUUGGCAGUGCCAGUCAGAAUAGUGAAACACACACUUUUCUCUUGGGAAUUCAUGAGCAAGGAAAUCAGUUCCAUACUACAACCAUUACCACUCGCUCAUCCCUCAAAAACCAGACUAGAAUUGCCUGCAAUCAUCUUCACCGAAGGCAUGGUGUAUUAAAUGUUAACUAUGAGAAUUCCCACCCGAGGGAAGAGAAGCUUUCCUUCCAAUGUUUCAAAAGGAAAAAAAACUAGCUGUAAUUUUACAUACACCCCACAGUGGAGUUAGUAAUCAACUUGGUUCCCAGAUUGUUCUGAUGGAAAAGGUCUACAACUAAAUGUUUUACACUACUUUAAAGCUUUAGAAGGCUUUAAAUAGUAGGGGAAUAUUCCUUGUAUAAUUGGGUAGGGGACUCUUUCUACAAGCAGAAUUUAUUUUUUAAAAUGGCAAUUUACUUUUUGUAGUUUGGAGACUUUUGUUAAAUUUGUAGCAUAGAUCCAUAGCAUGGAAAUAUGCAUCCAAUCAUAACAAGUUUUCUUUUGUUAGUAGAUUAGCUCUCUUAAGUGAAAAGACAUUGGCCAGAAAUGGGUUAAUGCUUUUUCACAUCUAUCAUAUCCUGAUCAGUGUCAUGAUAGAAGCUGAAGUGAAUCUAUAGUGAUUAUCCCAGGAUAAUUAAAAAUGAGUUUUUCCCCA